rnacentral:rRNA from 1 species
GUGUCAGCAGCCGCGGUAAGACAGAGGUGGCAAGCGUUGUUCGGAUUUACUGGGCUUAAAGGGCGUGUAGGCGUCCUGAUAAGUCAGAUGUGGAAGCCUUGGGCUUAACCCAAGAAUUGCAUUUGAAACUGUCAGGAUUGAGUCGUGCAUGGGAGGGCGGAAUUCCUGGUGUAGCGGUGAAAUGCGUAGAUAUCAGGAGGAAGGCCUGUGGUGAAGAUGGCCCUCUGGGCAAUGACUGACGCUGAGGCGCGAAAGCGUGGGUAGCAAACAGGAUUAGAUACCCUGGUAGUCCACGCCCUAAACGGUGGGUACUAGGUGUGGGUGGCGAUAGUCAUCCGUGCCGAAGGGAAACCAUUAAGUACCCCGCCUGGGGAGUACGGCCGCAAGGUUGAA